GUUCGUGCCUCGUGUUUUGAAAAAGUUUGUUGCUUUCUGCCACCAAUUUAACAUCAAUAUUUUCACAGAAUCGCAAGAAAUGAAUGGGCACACCAAGGACUGAACUGCGUAAAUGAUAAAAGUACAUCAACAAGAAGGAAGCAGCAAAGCCCCGUACAGAAGGAGAGUGACUCCGAUCAAAAAUUAGUUGAGUUCUUGAAUAUUGAAAUAAAAAAUAAAUAUGAAAUUGAAA